rnacentral:rRNA from 1 species
CAUCGUUUGUCGCUCAUACUAAUUGAAUAGUAUGGUGAAGUGUUUAGAUCGCAACGAUGUGGGGUGACUCAUUGCCCGCGAUGUAGCGAGAAGUCUACUGAACCUUGCCAUUUAGAGGGAAAAGUCGUAGUAAAGUUUUCGUAGAUGAACUUGCAUAAG